UUGUACAUAGUUGUUGCAUAUCUACACCUGUAUACUUCUAUUCCCUUAGAAGACUGUAUCUGGAGAACAACCAUGUCUGCUAAAGGAAGCCAAUGCAAAGAUCCUGACCCCUGCCAUCCAGUGGUGCAAUGCCAGGAUCCCAAGCCCCAGUGCAAAGAUCCUUGUGCACCAGUUGAUCCCUGCCAGCAACAAGGGCAAGGGCAUGGUCAAGGGCAUCAGGGUCACCACCAUCAUCAUCACCAGCAUGGAGGACAAAGUGGCCAAGGAUGUGGAGGAGCCAAGAAGUAAAAAACAAUGGAAAUCACUAUAUUACUUUUACUUAGCUGAAAGCACAUUGAAAAUAAUUAUCAUGUAUUGUUAUUUCUCAAAUUAAUUCAGUAGCUGUUUAUUCAUGUUUUUAACUUGAAUAAACUCUUUUGGUAUUAUUAUUGUGUGCAUCAGCAAGAUUUUGUGAAAUCAGCAAGAUCUUUGAGUAUUAAAUAAACAUUUAUCAAAACAA